rnacentral:lncRNA from 1 species
AAAUAACAACACACUCCUCUUACGGUAAAAACACAACAACACAACACAUAAGGAUUUAGGCAUAUUCUUCUCCUUUUUUGUUUAGUCUUAGAUGCCAUGUAAAUUUAUAUACCGCAUGCUUAUUUUAUUUUGAUUUUUUUAAAGGCCAUGCUUGCGAUUUGAAUUCAUACUUGUAAUCUUUUUCACUUUCUUUUACUUUGUCUUAGCGGUAUAUAGAAAGAGUAUUAAAAGAUACUGAUCAUGCUUUUAAGUUGUUUUUGUGACUAGUUAAUAAUUAUUGAUAUGUUUACUCUUAGGUGGUGGUAGAGAAGCUGGAACGUCAUUUUGAAACCUCAUAUAGGCAGGUGUAAGAAAUUGAAGAAAAACAAAGAUGAUAAUGUUAGCAAACGUAUGCUUGACAAAGCUGGAAAAUUGACAUCAAGAAAAAUUGACAUGAAAGUUGUACGUGACUUGAUUUCCAUGAGCAUGACCACUACAACAUUUUAGGCCUACCGCAACGUCUAAAUUUUGGGAUGUAAAAAAACCGUUGUGGUAGGAUAUAUAAAAUCCCAAAAGAACGCAGCUCGAAAACAUAAAAUCCCAAAUUGAUUCUUGUUCUCAUAUUAA